rnacentral:rRNA from 1 species
GGUUACGGGCCAUAUCCUGGGUGAAAAUACGGCUUCCCGUCGCGAUCACCAUAGUCAACGCCCAGAGAGCCUAGUUUAGUAUUUGUAGUGGGAGACACCAUACGGAAAUCCUGGGGUGCUGUAAUC